rnacentral:misc_RNA from 1 species
AUUUAGCAUCUGUCCACUGCGGGUAACAGAACUGAACAUAAUGUAGUCUCUCAAUAAAUUUAUUCAAACUCAUGUAGUGGUUAAAUAUUUAUUAUGGCUUUUGGCUGGUUCUAGUCUUUUUUAUUGGCUGUACAACCUUCUGUUGCACAUAUUAGUUCGCUUGCGUUUUAGAAGUUUCUUCAAAAGUAAAUGCUUUAAUUACGAUAUGUAAGAAGAAGAGAGAAUAUCAAGAGAUGUCGCCUCACAAUGGAGAUUUUCCUCCUAUUACCACUGCUAAGUGAUCCCACAGAGCUGCUGGUAUAAUGGAGCGAAAUUCGAUUGUGGCCUAAGCAUAUCAUGUGUCUUAGAAGGAGGUAAGCCUCUGGACCUAUGUAGUGGUGGACUUAUAUGGAGCUGCUGUGUUUCAAGGGACAAUGUUCACUCUUCUUCUGAUCCUAAUAUAGGCGCACUCGAAAACGCUAGUUGUGGAGAAUUAUACACUAGAAGCCAUAGAAUAGUCGGUGGUCACAGUUCCAAUUAUGGAACACAUCCAUGGCAGGCUGCAAUAAUCAAAUCAGGUUUCUUAUCGAAAAAGCUGUCGUGUGGAGGAGCAUUACUGAACAAUAGAUGGGUGGUAACUGCAGCGCAUUGUGUAGCAACGACAUCUAAUACAAAUCUGAAAGUUCGCCUAGGCGAGUGGGAUGUGCGGGACCAGAGUGAAAAGUAUCUUCAUGAGGAAUUCAACGUCGAAAGAAAAGAGGUUCAUCCUCAGUACAGUCCCACCGAUUUCAGGAACGAUUUAGCUCUGAUAAAACUGGAUAAGGCAGUAACUUUUAAGCAGCAUAUAAUUCCAGUUUGUUUGCCCGACUCAUCGGUGAAAUUAGUUGGUAAAACGGCUACAGUUGCAGGUUGGGGUAGAACAAGGCAUGGAGUAUCGACAGUGCCAACAGUAUUACAAGAGGUCGAUGUGGAAGUGAUACCAAACGAUAGAUGCCAGACUUGGUUCAGAGCGGCUGGACGAAGGGAGAAAAUACACGACGUUUUCCUUUGUGCUGGAUUCAAGGAAGGUGGCAGAGACAGUUGUCAAGGAGACUCAGGAGGACCAUUGACAACAACUCUUGACGGUAAAAAAGUACUGAUUGGCCUUGUGUCAUGGGGUAUAGGAUGUGGAAGAGAGCACUUACCAGGUGUCUAUACGAACAUACAAAAGUUUGUUCCAUGGAUUGACAAAGUCAUGAUUUGAAUGCAAACGUUUCAUGAUUGCUAAAAAAUCUCAGUCAUAGCUCAGGUAUACCAAAUUGCCUUUGUUGCCAAAGUUCCGUCCAUAAUGGACGAAAAAUGAUCAGUGAUUGAUUAUUGAUGAACUUAUACAACGCAGAAAUUACUAGGUUCUUGCUGCUUGGGCAUACACAUCACGUCACGUCAAGAGAGUGUGAAACUUAGUUGCGUUCACUGUAACAUUUUGUACGAUUGUUUGUUUUUUGUAUUCAACUAAAGGUGAAAUCCUUUGUUCAUUUGCUGUUUGAAUGAUCGCAACUUCAGAAAUGCAUAUAUUUUAUUUAUAAACUGAUUUUGCAAACACAA